rnacentral:rRNA from 1 species
AGAGUUUGAUCCUGGCUCAGAACGAACGCUGGUAGCGUGGAUUAGGCAUGCAAGUCGAACGGGAUCCGGCUGGUAGCAAUACUAGUUGGUGAGAGUGGCGGAUUGGGGAGGAACACGUGAGCAACCUGCCUUUGAGUGGGGGAAAACCGGUGGAAACGCCGGCUAAUACCGCAUGUGGCGCCUGGGGACAUCCCCGGAGCGCUAAAGGGGGCCGCAAGGCUCUCGCUCUUAGAGGGGCUCGCGCACCAUCAGCUUGUUGGCGGGGUAACGGCCCACCAAGGCUUACGGUUAGCUGGUCUGAGAGGAUGACCAGCCCCACUGGGACUGAGAUACUGCCCAGACUCCUACGGGAGGCUGCAGUCGAGGAUCAUUUGCAAUGGGCGAAAGCCUGACAAUGCGACGCUGCGUGGAGGAUGAAGGCCUUCGGGUUGUAAACUCCUGUCAUAAGGGAACAGGCGAGGGGUGCCAAUACCAUCCUUAGUUGAGUGUACUUUAAGAGGAAGCGACGGCUAACUCUGUGCCAGCAGCCGCGGUAAUACAGAGGUCGCAAGCGUUGUUCGGAUUUACUGGGCGUAAAGGGCGCGUAGGCGGUCCCAUGUGUCGGAUGUGAAAUCUCCGGGCUCAACCCGGAAAGUGCGUCCGAAACUGUGGGACUCGAGUCUGGGAGAGGGAAUCGGAAUAUAGGGUGUAGCGGUGAAAUGCGUUGAUAUCCUAUAGAACACCGGAGGCGAAGGCGGAUUCCUGGAACGGUACUGACGCUGAGGCGCGAAAGUCGGGGGAGCAAAACAGGAUUAGAUACCCUGGUAGUCCCGACCUUAAACGGUGCACACUCGAGGUGGAGCGGGUUGACGCGCCCGUCUCUUAGCUAACGCGAUAAGUGUGCCGCCUGGGGAGUACGGCCGCAAGGCUAAAACUCAAAGAAAUUGACGGGGGCCCGCACAAGCAGAGGAGCAUGUGGCUUAAUUCGAUGCAACGCGAAGAACCUUACCUGGAUUUGACAUACAGCUGCACGAUCUAUGAAAGUAGAUCUCCUUCGAGGGUGCUGUACAGGUGCUGCAUGGCUGUCGUCAGUUCGUGCCGUGAGGUGUUUGGUUAAGUCCCGCAACGAGCGCAACCCCUGUUUCUAGUAGCCAGCAGUAAGAUGGGAACUCUAGAGAGACUGCCCGGGACAACCGGGAGGAAGGCGGGGAUGACGUCAAAUCAUCAUGCCCCUUAUGACCUGGGCUACACACGUGCUACAAUGGCGUAAACAAAGGGACGCAAACCUGUAAAGGCAAGCAAAUCCGAUAAAGUACGUCUCAGUUCGGACUGUGGCCUGCAACCCGGCCACACGAAGCCGGAAUCGCUAGUAACGGCGUAUCAGCUACGACGCCGUGAAUGCGUUCCCGGGCCUUGCACUCACCGCCCGUCA